rnacentral:rRNA from 1 species
ACGAACGCUGGCGGCGUGCCUAAUACAUGCAAGUCGAACGAGAGCGACCGGUGCUUGCACUGGUCAAUCUAGUGGCGAACGGGUGAGUAACACGUGGGUAACCUGCCCAUCAGAGGGGGAUAACAUUCGGAAACGGAUGCUAAAACCGCAUAGGUCUUCGAACCGCAUGGUUUGAAGAGGAAAAGAGGCGCACGCUUCUGCUGAUGGAUGGACCCGCGGUGCAUUAGCUAGUUGGUGAGGUAACGGCUCACCAAGGCCGUGAUGCAUAGCCGACCUGAGAGGGUGAUCGGCCACAUUGGGACUGAGAAACGGCCAAACCGCCUAGGGGAGGCAGCAGUGGGGAAUCUUCCGCAAUGGACGAAAGUCUGACGGAGCAACGCCGCGUGGGUGAGGAAGGUUUUCGGAUCGUAAAACUCUGUUGUUAGGGAGGAAUAAAUGAUAGAGUAACUGUUAGCGCCUUGAGGGUAUCUAACCAGAAAGCCACGGCUAACUACGUG